GGGGCGCGGACUAGAAUGCAAGUCGAACGGUAACAGGAAGCAAGCUUGCUUUUUUGCUGACGAGUGGCGGACGGGUGAGUAAUGUCUGGGAAACUGCCUGAUGGAGGGGGAUAACUACUGGAAACGGUAGCUAAUACCGCAUAACGUCGCAAGACCAAAGAGGGGGACCUUCGGGCCUCUUGCCAUCGGAUGUGCCCAGAUGGGAUUAGCUAGUAGGUGGGGUAACGGCUCACCUAGGCGACGAUCCCUAGCUGGUCUGAGAGGAUGACCAGCCACACUGGAACUGAGACACGGUCCAGACUCCUACGGGAGGCAGCAGUGGGGAAUAUUGCACAAUGGGCGCAAGCCUGAUGCAGCCAUGCCGCGUGUAUGAAGAAGGCCUUCGGGUUGUAAAGUACUUUCAGCGGGGAGGAAGGGAGUAAAGUUAAUACCUUUGCUCAUUGACGUUACCCGCAGAAGAAGCACCGGCUAACUCCGUGCCAGCAGCCGCGGUAAUACGGAGGGUGCAAGCGUUAAUCGGAAUUACUGGGCGUAAAGCGCACGCAGGCGGUUUGUUAAGUCAGAUGUGAAAUCCCCGGGCUCAACCUGGGAACUGCAUCU
rnacentral:rRNA from 1 species